GACGAACCGUCCAAACGUUAUUCGGAAUUACUGGGCUUAAAGGGCGCGUAGGCGGCGCGGAAAGUUGGGUGUGAAAUCCCUCGGCUCAACCGAGGAACUGCGCUCAAUACUACCGUGCUCGAGGGAGAUAGAGGUGAGCGGAACUUAGGGUGGAGCGGUGAAAUGCGUUGAUAUCCUAAGGAACACCGGUGGCGAAAGCGGCUCACUGGAUCUCUUCUGACGCUGAGGCACGAAAGCUAGGGUAGCGAACGGG
rnacentral:rRNA from 1 species